rnacentral:rRNA from 1 species
UACGUAGGGUGCAAGCGUUGUCCGGAAUUAUUGGGCGUAAAGAGCUCGUAGGCGGUUUGUCGCGUCUGCUGUGAAAACCCGAGGCUCAACCUCGGACUUGCAGUGGGUACGGGCAGACUAGAGUGUGGUAGGGGAGACUGGAAUUCCUGGUGUAGCGGUGGAAUGCGCAGAUAUCAGGAGGAACACCGAUGGCGAAGGCAGGUCUCUGGGCCACUACUGACGCUGAGAAGCGAAAGCAUGGGGAGCGAACAGG